UGCUCCUUGGGUGACGAGUGGCGGACCUGUGAGUAAUGUCUGGGAAACUGCCCGAUGGAGGGGGAUAACUACUGGAAACGGUAGCUAAUACCGCAUAACGUCUCAAGACCAAAGCGGGGGACCUUCGGGCCUCUUGCCAUCGGAUGAGCCCAGAUGGGAUUAGCUAGUAGGUGGGGUAACGGCUCACCUAGGCGACGAUCCCUAGCUGGUCUGAGAGGAUGACCAUCC
rnacentral:rRNA from 1 species